GACGAACGCUGGCGGCGUGCUUAACACAUGCAAGUCGAACGAGUGGCGAACGGGUGAGUAAAAUGUGGGUGAUCUGCCUUGCACUUCGGGAUAAGCUUGGGAAACUGGGUCCAAUACCGGAUUGUGCAAGAUGGGCGCGCGGCCAACCAGUUAGUUGGGGGGGGAAUGGCUACCAAGGCGCGACGGGUAGACGGCCUGGGAGGGUGUACGGGCUCAUUGGGACUAAGGUAGGGCCCAGACUCCUACGGGGGGCAGCGGUGGGGAGUAUUGCGCAGUGGGCGGAAGCCUGAUGCAGCGACGCCGCGUGGGGGAUGAAGGCCUUCGGGUUGUAAACUCCUUGCGACUAGGACGCGGUACCUGUAUAAGAAGCACCGGCUAACUACGUGCCAGCAGCCGCGGUAAUAC
rnacentral:rRNA from 1 species